rnacentral:lncRNA from 1 species
UUUUUUUUUAAGAUUUUAUUUAUUCAUUCAUGAUAGACGUGGGGGGUGGGGAGAGAGAGAGAGAGAGAGAGAGAGAGAGAGAGAGAGGCAGAGACACAGGCAGAGGGGGAAGGAGGCUCCACGCCAGGAGCCCAACGCAGUACUGGAUCCCCGGACUCCAGGAUCACGCCUGGGGCCAAAGGCAGGCGCUAAACCGCUGAGCCACCCAGGGAUCCCCUUCUUACUUGUUUUUAUUCGGAUCACCUCAUCCUACCUUGCUCUGCCAAAGGUAAGGCUGUUCAUUGUGUCAAGCUGUCACUCUCCAGAAUGUAGUUCACCUGGUUGUCUUAUGAUCUCAGUUUUUGAUGGAUUCAAGAAAAUUUGUGAUUUUGUCAACUGCCCAGCUCUGUCUCAUCAGUGUGGGAGCAAAGUUCUCUGGAAGCUUUCUCUAUCCUAAAUGGAAGCAAAACCAAAAUCAUCUCCGUCUCUUAUAAUUGAGGCCUAGAAAAAAAAUGGCUUUUCCAUUCUACAAAACUUUGGAUUUUUAAACAAUAUUUACUUUCAUUUUUGUCUGCCAUUUCUUCCUUGAGCUCCUCUCUUUCUUGUAAUACCUAGCCAAAGACAGCCACAUACACUAUUUACAUUUUGUUUUCUAACAUGCUCCCGAACUGCUGGCACACUCUGAUUAUGCUCUGCCUCCCCAAAUGAUUGCAGGUGGAAGCUGUAGAAAAUGUCUUGCUAAUGUAUCAUUUGGAUCAGCAGCAUUUCAACCUGUAAUAUCUGUGUCUUCACUGCUUUCCUUUAAAGAAAUGCAAGAAAACACCUCAGGUGUUUGUUAUGUAGCAUCCAAAAGGGACCAACUUCUAGUCAGGAUGAGUUAUGCUAUGCUGUGCAGAUCUCUGGCUUAACAUAAAGGAUUUGUCUCUAUUACAGGUUUUAUGCACACUGGGGAUCCCUUCUUUAUAUGAUAGCAUUUAGGACGCAUCGCCUCAAAAGUCGCUAUGCCAAUAGAAAGAUGAAGAAAGCACAUUGGCUUUAAAUCACCUUGAUCUAAAAGUGACCCCUGUACUUCUUCUCAUGUUCAUUGGUCAGAGUUACUCAUUGGAGCCAACCUAAACGCAACAAUGUUAAGAAACAGGGGAGGCAGGAACCCUGGGUGGCUCACUGGUUUAGCACUGUCUUCGGCCCAGGGCAUGAUCUUGGAGACCCGGGAUCGAGUCCCAUGUCAGGCUCCCUGCAUGGAGCCUGCUUCUCCCUCUGUGUCUUUGCCUCUCUCUCUCUCUCUCUUUCUCUCUCUCUCUCUCUCUCUGUCUCUCAUGAAUAAAUAAAUAAAAUCUUAAAAAAAAAAAAAAGAAACAGGGGAGGAAAUGGAUAUUACCUUUGUUACCCUAUACUCUGUUUUUCCAAUAUGUGAUCAGCAAAGGAAUAAGACUACCCUUUCUCUUAUUACUAUGUUGAAUCAGAGUUAGUAAAUAUAUGUCAGACGUAGCAUCAUCUCGUAAUGCACUAGGCAGGGCUCAGGCCACCUUAAAUUGGUCAUUAACUCCUGCUCUCCCCUUCCUUAUAUUUUCCCAUGAGGCUCAGAUGAAACUAACAUUGGAGGACAUUUAAGCUCAUACAGCUCCUCCAUGCCCAUACAUCACUACAAAUGAUUUUCAGGCCUUGAAAGCACUGAUAACCAGAGGUGACGUUAGACUGGCACACACCAAUGUGGUACACUGUCCUUUAUACCCAAGAGCCAUUCGGGCUGGUUGAGUAUCCAUCCUGCUGGAUCAGAGCCCAUGCCUUAUGAUUAUUUAUUGUUCUGACUACCACUUCUUCUUCUUCUUCUUUUUUUUUUUUUUUUUCUGACUACCACUUCUGUUUACUAUUCAAAUAUACCAAAUUACUUCUAGAUUGUACUAGAUCCUCCCAGGGCUUAGUGUUUUUUGUUUUUAGACACCAAUUCAAACCAAACAACAUGAAUGAUAAUGUAAAGAUUUAUGUUAAGUUUCCUUAAAAAGGCAGCCCAGAAGGCUUGCUCAGAGCGUAUCACCUGAACCUUUCCAUACAUCCUCUCUUUGCCUCAUUUAGAACUUUUCACUCAUGGCGACAGACAAAAUUUCCUUUUUCUCUUUGUGCACACAGUCAUAUUUCUAUGAAAUGGCUUUUUGAGUUCAUAUUCUUUUCCUAUCUUGCCUCCUUUUCCUCUACAAACUGUACACCUGGCCCUCCCUGCUGCACAAGGCCAUUUGGUAGGGUAGACUGAUCCUACCGGGCUGUUUUACCAGGACUUAGAAAUCUGGUGAAUAUAUUCAUUAGUCACUAUUUUAUUUUAGAUCAUACCAAUUCUUACAUCAAUGAUACUCAGAUUUUUGUCACAAGAAAAAAUGAGAAGACACCACUCUCAAGAUGCUGACUUUUAUUUUUUGUGCCAUAGGCAGAAGCUGAGUAGCUGGCUCACCAUAUUGCAUUGAGCAGGUUUUCAGAAAAAGAGUGUUUCUAUCUCAGUCAUUGCUGAUGAAACCCUCCAUAAGACUGGAAUCUGCCAACUUCAUCACAAAUGUAUGUGAACGACAGAUUUUCCCUGCCUCAGACAUUAACAAACUGCAGAUGGUAAAUAGUUCUUUGCUUUAAAAGCUAGAUUUAUUUCACAGUCUGCUAAAAUGCAAAUACCCAAAAAAGAACACAGCUCCUUGCUGCCACAGGUUUGCCAAAGUCUUUGUUCUCAAAUAAUCUUAAAUAUAACUGCCCUUUGAGAAGUUAUACUCUUGGAAUAAGCAAAAUUUAAUGCUUGAGUAAUCAAACUGAUUUUGUCCAUGAUAUUAUUAUAAUUUUUAAGAGAAAAAUAGCAUCAAUCCUCAUAGAAACUGCCCUUCUCUAAUAGAUAGCUUGAAAUCGCAAUUAUUUUUCUCCCUUCUUCCAAAAAAGAUAUAUAGAUGAAAGACAGACAAACAGGCAAUUAUUUAACAGAUAAAGGGACAAAUGGAUAAGUGAAAAUGGAACAGAAACUAACAUCACAGAGAAGCACAGUGCUCGGCUAAUUGGGGGCUAAUGCACCUAUGUGACAAUAAAGAAUUAAUAAGGAUUCUUCUGGUCUUAAUGGUGAUGUAAUAAAGACCCUGAACUCACCUCCUAAAUGGACACACUAAAUCUACACUUAUUUAUAGAGCAAUUCCUCCUAAAGAAGAACUGAAGGCUGAUUGAAUAGUUUCUGCACAACACAUGAUAAAGAGAUCACAAAGAGAACAGCAAAAGAGAUGGAGACCUGGUAAUGAAGGGAACCCUGACCUUCUAGUGCUGCAAGCUGUAGCGGAGAAUGGUAGUACUGAGGGACUGUGAGCAGAUUUGUCUGCCCUGGGGCACAGAAAAAAAAAAUAGCUGUGACUAAAAAGAGCAACUUGAAUAUAUGGGAACCAAUCCUAGGACCCUGCCAAAAUGGGGGGUGGUUGCUGGAACUCUCUCCAAGUCAGAGGGGCUGGUGAGUGCCAUGGCUUCUAUUCCCCUUGCCUUCCACUAAUGUAAGCCAACUAUGGCUCCUGGACAGACUGAAGUAGGGUCUUGCCUUAGUGAGCCCCAGGCCCCUAGCUCAUACCAAUCCAAGCUAUCACACCAGGGCAGUGUGCACACCACGACCCCCUUGCUCAGUGCUUACUACAGUUCCAACCAUUUUGUCAAAGUGACACAGGCACAAGGUACCCUGAAACACUCUAGGCCAAUCACACCUCAGGGCCAAAUGAUGUGGUUGGGUAUCUUGAUGCAGGGCAUUCUGAGACCUGGAAGGCCAGGGUGCCCUGCAUGAGGAGUGCCCUGGAACUCCUAACCAGCACCUACUUUGGGUCCAAUUGUCAAGCAAAUCUUGUGCUGAGUACCCAGGACACCUACACCUCCACCUAUUUCAAUUCCAGCUGUUCUGCCAUGAUGCUCACUGUAUGGAGGUCCCUGGAACCCCAUGUUAGCUUCACCAGUCCUGCCUGGGCACCCUCUGCAUAAAGAGCCAAGAAACAUGCCCACUUCAGCUCUGGUCAUAAGAGAGGGCAGCUCCAGCACGGAGUGCUCUGGGAUCCCCUAGCCCACACAAGCCACAGCUCUGGCCAGACAGCCAUAGUCACCAGUCACACAAAAUCUUUACAGGGGACUACCAUACACAGACCAUCACUUCAAGCUUAGGAGAAGUAGUUGUUCUACCCACUUCAUAGGAACAAACACAGGAAUUCAAGAAAAUGAGGAGACAGAGGAAUAUGCUCCAAAUGAAAGAAGAAGACAAAACCUCAGAAAAAGAACCAAAUGAAAUAGACAUAAUCUACCUGAUAAAGAGUUCAAAGUAAUGGUCAUAAAGAUGGUCACCAAGACUGGAGAAAGGAAUGGAUAGACUCAGUGAGAACUCCAACAAAGAACCAAUCAGAGUUGAAGAAUACAAUAACUGAAAUGAAAAAUACACUAGAGGGAAUCAACAGCAGGUAAAACACGCAGAAGAAUGAAUCAAUGAUCUGGAAGACAGGGUAAUGGAAAGCACCCAAGUUGAACAGCAAAAAUGAAAAAGAAUUAAAAAAAAAAAGAUAGGUUAAGGGAUCUCUUGAACAAUACCAAGUGAAUAAACAUUUGCAGUAUAGGAGUCUCAGAGGGAGAGGAGAGAUAAAAGGGGGCAGAAAACUUCCUUGAAGAUACAAUAACUGAAAAAUUCCAUGAAGUGGGAAGGAAACAUAUACCCAGGUUUAGGAAACCCAGAGUUCCAAAGAUGAACCCAAGGAGGUCCACACCAUGACACAAACUAAUUAAAGUAUAAAAAAUUAAAGACAAAGAAU